ensembl:miRNA
AGCUAUUGUGUCACUUCCUCAUGCUGACAUAUUUACUAGAGGGUAAAAUUAAUAACCUUCUAGUAAGAGUGGCAGUCGAAGGGAAGGGCUCAUCUGACUUCUGGAAGCCU